rnacentral:rRNA from 1 species
UACGAAGGGGGCUAGCGUUGUUCGGAAUCACUGGGCGUAAAGCGCACGUAGGCGGAUCUUUAAGUCAGGGGUGAAAUCCCGAGGCUCAACCUCGGAACUGCCUUUGAUACUGGGAUCUCGAGUCCGGGAGAGGUGAGUGGAACUGCGAGUGUAGAGGUGAAAUUCGUAGAUAUUCGCAAGAACACCAGUGGCGAAGGCGGCUCACUGGCCCGGAACUGACGCUGAGGUGCGAAAGCGUGGGGAGCAAACAGG